AAAAUAAAAAAUAAAAAGAGAAAGACUUUCCCUCUGGUCAAAAAACACACCAAGAGACUAAAAUAGUCUCUCUCUCCAAAAACGAGAAAAGAGAAAAAGAGAAUGGUUCCUCUUCUUCAAGGUUCAACACCAAAAUGGUAACGACGUUAACCACUGCGCCACACUCCUUCACCGCCACCAUGCAACACCACACACACCAAAAUGCGACAACCAUAAAAAAAAACCACACC
rnacentral:lncRNA from 1 species